rnacentral:misc_RNA from 1 species
GUGGUCAGCUGUGCUCAGAGUGGAAAGAUCCGUGAACGAGUGUAGGCUAUACCCUGUGUGUGUACGAGUGUGUUUCAGGGCCUUGCUUACCGCGGGAUAACUUGGCCUUUCUACUCUUUUUUUCUUUGGAGUUCAGUUCGUCCGGGCAAGCUGUGGCCCCGCUCCCACAAUUGAGAUGGUUUCCCGACGCAGGAUCUUAGGACGCUCGCAGGAUAACAUUCAUGUCGACAACUACCAAGAGGAAGAGGAAGAUGUUUACUACACGAAGGAAAGUCUCCUUAAGAUGCACAUCCAGGAAGUGCUGAUGAAGUGGGAGCAAAUCGACGACGAGAUCUGGUCCAAGGUGAUCGUCCUGGAGCGCAACCGACGCGUCGCGAAGGCCUACGCGCGCGCGCCCGUCCUCACCGUCAACGGCUCGGAUGACGGCUUCGACGGCUACAGGAUUGGACUUUGUGGCUUCGAUAACCCCAUGAGAGACCAGAGGAUAGAUGAGAUCAAGAGACACAUUGGCCACGGCGUGAAGGUGAAGAUGGACGACCAGGGCAACAUCCUCAUCAAGCGCGUCUCGAGGGCGGGCGUCUUCGUCAAGAUGGCCAGCGACGACAACGCCAUCAGCAACGACAUCCUCAAGCUGCCCAACCUCGAACUGGAGAACGAGAAGCCUGUUAUGCUCUUCGACAUGAACAAGUUCCAGCAGAACGUGAAGCGUGAGAUGCGGCGCCAGUACCCGGACCGCUUCAAGCUGGAGACCCAGUGCGUCUGCCUCAUCGCCUUCGUCAAGAACGAGCAGGACAUCUUGGACUGCCCGAUCUGGGUCAUGAUCAUCAACAUCGUCGCCAUGGACAUGCUCAAGUCGAAGCUGCCGCCUGUCAGGGUCCUGCCAAACAUCAGGAACCGCCCUCGCAUCCCCAUUCCCGACGAGGAUCCCUACAGCGUAGCAGGAGGAUCUGGUGCUUCCUCAGGAUCCUCAGGCAAGGACCGAAAUGGCAAGGACAAACCUCCAAAGUUACCCCCAAGGGACUCCGCCAACUACCCCGUCCCUGGACCCCGACCCAACGGCAAGUCCGAGGCCCUGGAUGAAAACGCAUUCCGUAAACUCCGAACUCGCAACAACAACAACAACAACAACAGCUCCCAGGACCGCAAGUAUGACGACCCAUACUACUGUGGUUUGAGAGCCCGCAUCCCCAACUUUGCCAAGCCGAAGUCGAAGGAUAAGCAGGAUGCGGUUCGUGCCCAGUACCCACCCCCCGUUCCUGCCCACCCCAUGUGGCACAGUCGGAGCUUCGAUUCGGGCAUGGCUCUUUUGCAACACAACCAAGUGCAAAAUAUUCACAGACUAGAAAGGAACCCCUGCUCGUGGGUACCAACUUUGCCUGGAAGAAAUGAAACUGAAUGGGAAACGUACUGGGACUCAUGAAGUGUGACUAAAUCAAAAAUAACAGUGGAAGCGUGUAAGAAGGGCACCAACAUAUGCUCUGUUCUAGACUCUGACUUCACUGAGUCCGCCUACUCCCACAUCUACGGACGUCUGCCACUCCCCAACCGGGGUUACCUCCCCCCACCCCCGCCCCACCCGCGUGCUAUGUACGUGGGGGAGUGGGACUAAAGGGCAUGUAAGGUC